rnacentral:rRNA from 1 species
UACGGAGGGGGCGAGCGUUAUUCGGAAUUAUUGGGCGUAAAGGGCGCGUAGGCGGCCUGAUAAGUCAAAGGUGAAAUCCCUCGGCUCAACUGAGGAAUUGCCUUUGAAACUGUCAGGCUUGAGGCCGGGAGGGGGUGGCGGAAUUCCCAGUGUAGCGGUGAAAUGCGUAGAUAUUGGGAGGAACACCAGUGGCGAAGGCGGCCACCUGGACCGGUUCUGACGCUGAUGCGCGAAAGCGUGGGGAGCAAAC